GUGACUCAGUGGUAGGGUACAGGUUUGGUACACCAGAGGCUCUGGGUUCCAUCCCAGC
rnacentral:tRNA from 1 species